CCUACGGGAGGCUGCAGUGAGGAAUAUUGGUCAAUGGACGCAAGUCUGAACCAGCCAUGCCGCGUGCAGGAAGACGGCUCUAUGAGUUGUAAACUUCUUUUGUACGAGGGUAAACGCAGGUACGCGUAUCUGUCUGAGAGUAUCGUACGAAUAAGGAUCGGCUAACUCCGUGCCAGCAGCCGCGGUAAUACGGAAGAUCCGGGCGUUAUCCGGAUUUAUUGGGUUUAAAGGGAGCGUAGGCCGGCUUUUAAGUCAGCUGUGAAAGUCCGCGGCUCAACCGUGGAAGUGCAGUUGAAACUGGAUGUCUUGAGUGCACACAGUGAAGCCGGAAUUCAUGGUGUAGCGGUGAAAUGCUUAGAUAUCAUGAAGAACUCCGAUCGCGAAGGCAAGAGUCCGGGGUGCAACUGACGCUGAGGCUCGAAAGUGCGGGUAUCAAACAGGAUUAGAUACCCCAGUAGUC
rnacentral:rRNA from 1 species